UACGGGGGGGGUAAGCGUUGUUCGGAAUUACUGGGCGUAAAGGGCUCGUAGGCGGCCAACUAAGUCAUACGUGAAAUCCCUCAGCUUAACUGGGGAACUGCGUCUGAUACUGGACGGCUCGAGUAUGGGAGAGGGAUGUAGAAUUCCAGGUGUAGCGGUGAAAUGCGUAGAUAUCUGGAGGAAUACCGGUGGCGAAGGCGGCAUCCUGGACCAUUACUGACGCUGAGGCGCGAAAGCUAGGGGAGCAAACGGG
rnacentral:rRNA from 1 species